GAACAUUCCUCAAAUCAAGAUCAAAUGGUGGAUACUCCUCAAAUUUCUGCACACAUCUCACAUACAAUGGAGCACAUUCCUCAGAUUGCAGUUCGUGAUCCUGAUAGAGCUGCAAGGACUAAAGGUCGUCCACGUAAUGCAACUAGAAUCCAGUCAGGUUUAGAACAAGCACAAGAAAAGAAAGAAAUGAAGAAACGUAUAUGUAGCAGAUGUGGUGAACUCGGGCAUUAUAGAACUAGCUGUAAAGUCAACUUGCCAAGCUAAACAAAAAUUGGUCUGGAUUCUUGAGCACCAAAUGCAUGGAUUUGUGGAAGAUGAAGUUCUCAACAGAAACUGGAAAUGGAAGCUACUUGUUUUGAGUUUAUUUUGUAAUGAAGCUAGUUGG